AGGAGCCGUGUGAUGUGAAAGCAUCAAGCACGGUUUUGAAGCCGAGCAUGAGGGGUGACUCUCAUGCUUAGGUUAACGGAUUACCUUCU
rnacentral:ncRNA from 1 species